rnacentral:ncRNA from 1 species
CAACCUCAACUCAUAUGGGACUACCCCCUGAAUUUAAGCAUAUUAAUUAGGGGAGGAAAAGAAACUAACAAGGAUUUUCUUAGUAGCGGCGAGCGAAAAGAAAUCAGUUCAGCACUAAGUCACUUUGUCUAUAUGGCAAAUGUGAGAUGCAGUGUACGGAACAUCAACAUUCUAGUAUGAGAAGUUAACGAUUUAAGUCCUUCUUAAAUGAGGCCAUUUACCCAUAGAGGGUGCCAGGCCCGUAUAACGUUAAUGAUUACUAGAUGGUGUUUCCAAAGAGUCGUGUUGCUUGAUAGUGCAGCACUAAGUGGGUGGUAAACUCCAUCUAAAACUAAAUAUAACCCAUGAGACCGAUAGUAAACAAGUACCGUGAGGGAAAGUUGAAAAGAACUCUGAAUAGAGAGUUAAAUAGUACGUGAAACUGCUUAGAGGUUAAGCCCGAUGAACCUGAAUAUCCGUUAUGGAAAAUUCAUCAUUAGAAUUGUAAUAUUUUAAACAAUAUUAUAAUAAUAGUGUGCAUUUUUUCCAUAUAAGGACAUUGUAAUCUAUUAGCAUAAAUAUUUAUCAUAAAAUUAUGUCUGAUUGCUUAUUUGAAUUAUAUGCUUGGCAUUUUAACAUAAAAUAAAAGAUAUAAAUUUGAUAAAGUGCUGAUAGAUUUAUAUGAUUACAGUGCGUUAAUUUUUCGGAAUUAUAUAAUGGCAUAAUUAUCAUUGAUAUUUGUGUUUAUUAUAUGCAUUUGUAUGAUUAACAAUGCGAAAGAUUCAGGAUACCUUCGGGA